rnacentral:rRNA from 1 species
CAACGCCGCAUGAGGGACGACGGCCUUCGGGUUGUAAACCUCUUUUAGUAGGGAAGAAGCGAAAGUGACGGUACCUGCAGAAAAAAGCACCGGCUAACUACGUGC